UAAGAAUCCAUCACAAUAGCAAAUGGACAUGCGAUCCAACGACGAUGGGGCGGCAGUGUAUUGAUCACACAUCGCCAGAAAAACUCAUCUCUCGCUAACGUAAGCAGAUAAAACAAUGUCCUCAAUUCACUAAUGACUAUUCUUUAGCGAGAGUUGCGCUAGAUUGCCUAACACUUGGCGUACAAUAGGCGGAUUACCAAUGGAUAUCCCAUCGUAUGGCCAACAUUGGGCUCACAAUUCAAUUUAAAGGAUCGUAAGGAAUUGCAACAUAGUACAGGAAUAAGCAACGUACUUGAAGCUAUCGUACAGUAUCACCCGUAUAACAAAUGCUACUGAACGAUCGAUCAGCGAGGCAAGAAAGUGGAUUGAAAACUUGACUUGAAAUCGAUGAAAAGGCUUAUUCAAAAUAAAAAAAUUUUUUUUACGAUUUACAUAUGAGUCAAACGCAUAUCAAGUACUUACUUCCGUCUUUUCGUUAACAUUGCAUACUUCUUGGG